ensembl:lncRNA
CCCUAAUUGGUCUUGGGUGUAACCAAUCAAGCAUACAUUGAUACAAUCUCCUAUUUGCAGAGGGCAUAACCAAUCAGGCCCCAGGAAUCUGCUCAAGGGAGGGAAUAAGAGAUAUAAAAAAGGGAAGCCAAAAUAGGAUAGGGCCACUCCUGCAGGGGGUGAUCUGCUCUCAUGCCUCGGGAGUGUAUUGCUUGCUGCAUGCCCAGUAAAUCUUGCCUACUUGAGCUAUAACUGGUCUUUCAUUUCAGUUCUUUGCUACCAUGAGACAACAACCAAGGGAGAAGAACCAACCUGACAACUCUAAGGAGUUGUCAUUUUAUCCUGAGAGCAUAGGAAGUAUAUGAAGAACUUUUUACACAGGAGGAAGAAUGAUCAGAUCAGCAUUUUAGAAAGCUCCUUCUUGUUGCCAUUUGGAGAGUGCAUUAGUCUGAAGAGAUGGGCUUGGAUAUAAGAAGUCCUGUUACACUGAGUCAUUAUACCAUUGAGGGAAAGUUCAAACCCCUGAGGGAAGGGAUGUGAUUGCCUCAGCCGAGCACUGGCACAUCUGUUUAGGAAGAACCUUUCGUGCAGGCCCUUCUCAUCUGCUGGCAAGCUGGAGAUGGGCCACCUGGAACGGGCGGACCGUUCUUAGUUCAGCCAGGACAGGACGGAGCUGCUGAUCCACAACGUGCUGUCCAGGCAACUUCCCUGACUGAGAAACCGGUGAAGAGAUUGAGGCCUCAUAUCUGGUUCAUUUGGAGCAGACCCUUCAUAUUGUGGGAUCUUAGAGCAUAAAGGCAAAGAAAAUCAUAAAAAAAGUUCCCACCAGGUUUUGAAGAACCUCAAUUUCAUCAUCCACAAGAUGGUAAUCAUACCAAUCCUAUCCUUCAUCACCUGACUGCUGUGAGAAUUGAAUGGGAAAAGUGAAGGUAUGGAAGCAACCUAAAGAUCCAUUAACAGAUGAAUGGAUGAAGAAGAUAUUUUAAAUGGAUGCAAUGAAACAUACUCAGUCAGAAAAAAAAGAAUAAAAGUUACCAAUUGCAACAAUCUGGAUGAACCUGGAGGAGAUCAAGCCCUGAGCCUUUGGAGUGGGAGCACUGACUCCAAGACCAUAGAAUAACAGAGAACUGACCCUGCUGCUGCUGCUGCUGCUAAGUUGCUUCAGUCGUGUCC